rnacentral:rRNA from 1 species
GGGGAAUUUUCCGCAAUGGGCGAAAGCCUGACGGAGCAAUACCGCGUGAGGGAUGACGGCCUAUGGGUUGUAAACCUCUUUUUUCAGGGAGGAAUCA